rnacentral:pre_miRNA from 1 species
AAUAAGAUCAAAUUUUUAGUUUUUUUAUACAAUAUUUUGAAUCUUCGUCUUAUUUGAAAUUUUUUUGCGAUUAAUAUUUUUAUUCUUGCUAGAUGAUAAAACAUAAAUAAUACUUUAUGCGUGACUAAUUUUUUAAAAGUUUUUUAUAAAUUUUUUAAAUAAGACGAAUGGUCAAACAUUGGACAUGAAAAAAC